UUUCCCGCGUGAAAUUAGUGGAUUUCCCUCCAAAACUGUAGAUGUGUAUUUAAAUAGCUGUUGGAUCGUCACUCUGGUUCCAGCAGCUCUACUCUGAGGACACGAAUACGGUGAACAGUGGGACUUGUCUUCAGCUUCAGGUGGAACAGCUCUGACCUGUACGGUGAUCAGACCCGGUGAAGAGAGACACCUGGUCCAACAAGGUGAUGGACGAUUGAAAGGACGAAUCACCAAGACGAGCCAAACAAUAAAGACGAGCCGCCACAGGAGCCUGAACCUGUACUUCACGAGGGGGAUCAAACAUGGCUGAUAUAUCUGCACUUCACUGCAGUUGGACGACGGUUUCCUGAAGUGAAUCCUGAUUUCCUAUUAAUCAAGUUUUUUGGACUGACAUGUUGUUCUCAGACUGUGAGACUCCCGAACAUCCUCAUCAAAAUAGACUCUUUGGUUUCUGUCUGUCUGUGAUGAAGCAUCAAAUGAGUCUCUUGUGAAACAGACCUGGUUCAGUUUGUUCACUUAAUUCACAUCAUCUUUCUACAAAGUCCCGUUUUUUAUCGGCAUUUUGCUUUUAUUAAGGCAGAGAAGAUGGAAACAACAGGCAGCUACUCAUCCUGUACAAGAAGCUUGGUUUUUUAAACUGAGUACUUACUAAUAAAAAAUAGAAGAUGGGACCUGGGGAGCAUAAAUGUACUAAUUUGAAAAAAUUCAAAUGAGUAAAUGUUUAAAACGAAUAUUUUAGAUAUUUUUUUUUCUUUGUAACCAAAUGGAAUCAAAAUAAAGACAUUUUCUUUGUAACUGAGUGACUCUUGAAAUGACUUAUGUGACUGGUUCUUCUUGUCAGCACCGUUUAGCUCCACUAGAAACAAAAGAAAAAACCUUCUGAGUCCAAAAGAAACGUGCAGAAAUGGAGCUGAAUGUGUUUGUCCUGCGCCUCCCUGUGAUCGAUUUACUUGUGUGGGCCACAUGUUCACACCUUCACAUCUAAACGUUGUUUAAAGUCUUAUUUCACCUCUAAACUUUGUUUUUAUUCCAACUGUGUUGUGUUAUUGAAUACAGAAUCUGAUCCUCGCCCGUGGAGAAAGUGUUGCAGAAUAACUGCAGACAAAGUGAACCAGAACAUACAGUUCACAUUUCCAUUCACUUUCAGAGAGCUGAAUGUGCAGAAAGGGAAACAGCACAUCACUUCUUUUAAUGAAACCAAAGAAGCAGGAAUGUGCAGGUUUGAAGAGUUCCAGGUUGUGUUCAUCUUUGACAGUCUGGACGAGUGUCGACUUCCUCUGGACUUCAGUCACCAUCAGAUCCUGACUGAUGUUACAGAGUCGAUGUGCUGCUGACAAACCUCGUCAGCGGGAAACUGCU